UACGUAGGGUGCGAGCGUUAUUCGGAAUUACUGGGCGUAAAGCGUGCGCAGGCGGUUGUGCAAGUCCGAGGUGAAAUCCCCGGGCUUAACCUGGGAAUGGCAUUGGUGACUGCACGGCUAGAGUGUGGCAGAGGGGGGUAGAAUUCCACGUGUAGCAGUGAAAUGCGUAGAUAUGUGGAGGAAUACCGAUGGCGAAGGCAGCCCCCUGGGAUAACACUGACGCUCAUGCACGAAAGCGUGGGGAGCAAACAGG
rnacentral:rRNA from 1 species